AAAGUACUCCCUCCAUCCCAAAAUUCUCGUCUUAGAUUUGUCUAGAUACGGAUGUAUCAAGUCACAUUUUAGUAUUAGAUACAUCCGUAUCUUCACAAAUCUAAGACAAGAAAUUUGGGACAGAGGGAGUAUUUG
rfam:Triticum urartu cultivar G1812 contig400360, whole genome shotgun sequence.